rnacentral:rRNA from 1 species
UACGUAGGUGGCAAGCGUUGUCCGGAAUUAUUGGGCGUAAAGCGCGUGUAGGCGGCUUUGCAAGUCGGGUGUGAAAGCCCUCGGCUCAACCGAGGAAGUGCGCCCGAAACUGCAGAGCUUGAGUACCGGAGGGGAUGGCGGAAUUCCUGGUGUAGAGGUGAAAUUCGUAGAUAUCAGGAGGAACACCUGUGGCGAAGGCGGCCAUCUGGACGGUAACUGACGCUGAGACGCGAAAGCGUGGGUAGCAAACAGG